rnacentral:sRNA from 1 species
UCUGGGCGCCGAGGUGCACGCCUGUAAUCCCAUGGUUUGGGAGGCUGAGGCAGGAGAAUCGCAAGUUCAAAGCCAGCCUCAGCAAUAUAGCAAGACCCAGUCUCAA